GAUGAACGCUGGCGGCGUGCUUAAUACAUGCAAGUCGAACGAAGCACCUUGGACAGAAUCCUUCGGGAGGAAGACCAUUGUGACUGAGUGGCGGACGGGUGAGUAACGCGUGGGUAACCUGCCUUAUACAGGGGGAUAACAGUUAGAAAUGACUGCUAAUACCGCAUAAGCGCACAGUACCGCAUGGUACAGUGUGAAAAACUCCGGUGGUGUGAGAUGGACCCGCGUCUGAUUAGCUAGUUGGCAGGGCAACGGCCUACCAAGGCGACGAUCAGUAGCGACCUGAGAGGGUGACCGGCACAUUGGGACUGAGACACGGCCCAAAACUCCUAACGGGAGGCAGCAGUGGGGAAUAUUGCACAAUGGGCGAAAGGCCUGAUGCAGCAACG
rnacentral:rRNA from 1 species